AGCUUUUCGAAUGCGUGCUCAGAUUUCAUCAGACACCAACCCAUUAGGGCUGAUCAGACUCCCAAGAUAAGUGAAGUU
rnacentral:pre_miRNA from 1 species